rnacentral:rRNA from 1 species
GAAAGUAAUGAAGGGCGUACGGUGGAUGCCUAGGCUCUUACAGGCGAUGAAGGACGUGAUAAGCUGCGAAAAGCCGCGGUGAGGCGCAAAUGGCCCUUGACCCGCGGAUCUCCGAAUGGGACAACCCAAUAUCUUGAAGAGAUAUUAUCCCGCCGGUGCGGGAGGCGAACGCGGGGAACUGAAACAUCUUAGUACCCGCAGGAAAAGAAAAUAAAGAAUGAUUCCCCCAGUAGUGGCGAGCGACCGGGGAAGAGCCCAAACCGACGUUGUCUCGGCAUCGUCGGGGUUGUAGGACCGCGCCAUCGCAAGAAAGGCCGUGAGUGGAAGCGACUGGAAAGCCGCGCCAUAGAGGGUGACAGCCCCUUACACGAAGCAGCCUGAAGCGUAGCGGACUCCUGAGUAGCGCGGGACACGAGUAAUCCUGUGUGAAUCCGCCGGGCCCAUCCGGCAAGGCUAAAUACUCGUAAGAGACCGAUAGUGAACCAGUACCGUGAGGGAAAGGUGAAAAGGACCCCUUGCAGGGGAGUGAAAGAGUUCCUGAAACCGUACGCCUACAAGCGGUCGGAGCAUCUUGAAUGAUGUGACGGCGUGCCUUUUGCAUAAUGAACCUACGAGUUGCCGUCACCAGCGAGGUUAAGUGCGACGACGCACCGAGCCGCAGCGGAAGCGAGUCUUAAAAGGGCGCGAUAGUUGGUGGAGGCAGACGCGAAACCGAGUGAUCUACACUUGUCCAGGAUGAAGUCCCGGUAACACGGGAUGGAGGUCCGCACCAAUAAGCGUUGAAAAGCUUCUGGAUGAGGUGAGUGUAGGAGUGAAAGGCCAAUCAAACUCGGAGAUAGCUCGUACUCCCCGAAAGGCAUUUAGGUGCCGCCUGUGGCGUUCCCGACGUGAGGUAGAGCGACUGAUAGGAUGCGAGGGCUUCACCGCCUAUCAAGUCCUGACAAACUCCGAAUGCACGUCGGCCAAGCCAUGGAGUAAGGGCAUGGGUGCUAAGGUCCGUGCCCGAGAGGAGAAGAAUCCAGACCACCGGCUAAGGUCCCGAAAUACUGGUUAAGUUAGACUAACGCAGUCCGGCCCCCAAGACAGCUAGGAUGUUGGCUUGGAAGCAGCCAUUCAUUCAAAGAGUGCGUAACAGCUCACUAGUCGAGGAGCUGGGCGUGGAUAAUAAUCGGGUAUAAAACCAGUUACCGAAGCCGUGGGAUGCUCAAGCAUCGGUAGGGGAGCAUUGCAUGCGGCUUGGAAGGCGGGGCGCGAGCCCCUCUGGAGCGCAUGGAAACGCAAAUGUAGGUAUAAGUAACGACAAGGGGGGUGGGAUGCCCCCCCGCCGAAAGACCAAGGUUUCCUGAACAACGCUAAUCGGUUCAGGGUCAGUCGGGUCCUAAGCAUAAGCCGUAUGGCGAGGGCGAUGGAUGAAACGGUUAAUAUUCCGUUACUGUCUUGGUGUGUGACGCGGCGACGGAGUAGUGACACGGCCGCCUCCUGACGGAAAAGGGGGUUGAAGCGCAAAGGUGUCGAGGAAGGCAGGCAAAUCCACCUUCCGAGCCGAAGCGCGAUAGUACGCCGGGCCCUUUGGGGCAAGGCGAUAGUGCCGGUAAUCAGACUUCCAAGAAAACCCGCUAAACUUCAGCACCAAGUCACCCGUACUCCAAACGGACACACGUGGUCGGGUAGAAUAUACUAAGGCGCUUGGGAGAUUCACGGUUAAGGAACUAGGCAAAUUGACCCCGUACCUUCGGAAUAAGGGGUCCUCGCUUUUGCGAGGCGCAGAGAAUAGGUCCAGGCAACUGUUUAACAAAAACACAGGGCUGUGCCAAUUUGAAAGAAGAAGUAUACAGCCUGACACCUGCCCGGUGCCGGAAGGUUAAGAGGAGAGCUCAUCAGCGAUGAGAAGGCUUGAAUUGAAGCCCCGGUAAACGGCGGCCGUAACUAUAACGGUCCUAAGGUAGCGAAAUUCCUUGUCGGGUAAGUUCCGACCUG